rnacentral:sRNA from 1 species
GCCAGGUGCAGUGAUGCAUGCCUGUAAUCCCAGCAGCUUGGGAGGCAGAGGCAGGAGGAUCAUGAGUUAGAAGCCAGCCUUAUCAACAGUGAGGCACUAAGCAACUCAGUGAGACCCUGUCUCUA